UACGUAGGGCGCAAGCGUUAUCCGGAAUUAUUGGGCGUAAAGAGCUCGUAGGCGGCUUGUUGCGUCGACCGUGAAAACCCGCGGCUUAACUGCGGGCUUGCGGUUGAUACGGGCAGGCUUGAGUUCGGUAGGGGAGACUGGAAUUCCUGGUGUAGCGGUGAAAUGCGCAGAUAUCAGGAGGAACACCGGUGGCGAAGGCGGGUCUCUGGACAGUUCCUGACGCUGAGGCACGAAGGCCAGGGGAGCAAACGGG
rnacentral:rRNA from 1 species